GACGAACGCUGGCGGCGUGCUUAACACAUGCAAGUCGAACGGAAAGGCCCUGCUUGUGUGGGGUGCUCGAGUGGCGAACGGGUGAGUAACACGUGAGUAACCUGCCCUACUCUUUGGGAUAACUUCAGGAAACUGGGGCUAAUACCGUAUAGGAGCCCCCGUUGCAUGGUGGGGGUUGGAAAGUCUCGGCGGGUGGGGAUGGACUCGCGGCUGACCAGCUUGCUGGUUGGGUAGUGGCUUACCAAGGGUUUGACGGGUCGCCCGCCUGAGAGGGUGACCGGCCACCUGGGGACUGAGAUACGGACCAGAGUCGUACAGGGGACAGCGGUGGGGAAUAUUGCACAAUGGGAGGGAGCCGGAUGCGGCGACGCCGCGGGCGUGAUGACGGCCUUCGGGUUGUGAAACGCUUUCGCCUAAGACGAAGCGGGAGUGACGGUAAUGGGUGAAGAAGCACCGGCUAACUACGUG
rnacentral:rRNA from 1 species